rnacentral:rRNA from 1 species
AUACGUAGGGAGCGAGCGUUGUCCGGAAUUACUGGGUGUAAAGGGUGCGUAGGCGGGACUGCAAGUCAGAUGUGAAAUGCCGGGGCUCAACCCCGGAGCUGCAUUUGAAACUGUGGUUCUUGAGUGAGGUAGAGGUAAGCGGAAUUCCUAGUGUAGCGGUGAAAUGCGUAGAUAUUAGGAGGAACAUCGGUGGCGAAGGCGGCUUACUGGGCCUUUACUGACGCUGAGGCACGAAAGCGUGGGGAGCAAACAGGAUUAGAUACCCUGGUAGUCCACGCUGUAAACGAUGAUGACUAGGUGUGGGGGGACUGAACCCUUCCGUGCCGCAGUUAACACAAUAAGUAAUCCACCUGGGGAGUACGGCCGCAAGGUUGAAACUCAAAUGAAUUGACGGGG